UACCAUAGGGUUUUAAGCCAUCUCUACAGUCUUGAACCCUUUGCCUUCCUCCCCAUUCUUCGUCACUUCUCUUGCUCACUAAAAACUUGCAAAAACAAAGAAAAUGGCCAUUUCCGCCACUUGUGCCGCAGCCAGAUCCAUUUUCCGAGCAUCCCCUGGCCGCACUGCCGCCGCCCGACUUGCUUCCCAAGCCAAGCCCUCUCGUUCCGCCUUCACCUUUCCUUCACGAGCCAACAUCCUCUCUAAUCGCAUUUCCAGGUCUCCGGUGGAAAUGAGCGCUUGCAUAGAGUCGAUUCAGCCGUACCACACCGCCACAGCCUCGGCUUUGAUGACCUCCCUCCUGACUGUCUCUCGCUGUGGUUACGGUUGGCUUCCCGAAGGUAUCUAGCAACAUCUUCUAGGAACCUCCUUCAAUGUCCUUUCCCUCCAUUUCUGCCUGUGCUUGCAAUGAUGAUGUGUGAUGAGUAUUUGGAGUGCUCAAGCAAAUUGUAAUGAACAAGUCUCAACAUUCUCAUUCAAUGGCACUAAGUAGAGGUUUCAACGAGCUGCGGAAAAGUUGUUUUGGAUGUCAUUCCUUCCAAAACUACAGAUUGCUUCUUUUUGGUGACUUCUAGAUUAGACUUCCAAUUUCUGCCAUUAGAUGCUAAAUGUCACCAAUUGACAUGGAUGUGAGAUGUAUUUAUUGUUCUAUCUUUUCUAAUUCAUUUCAAGCAUCAUCAUUGUAUGAAGUUAUCAAGGCAAUAUGCUGAUUUCUCAUGUAUCAAGCAGCUUGCAGUUAUAAUGUAUGAUCAAUUUUCUACCAUC